GUGGGGAAUAUUGCGCAAUGGGGGAAACCCUGACGCAGCAAUACCGCGUGAGUGAAGAAGGUUUUCGGAUCGUAAAACUCUUUUAUUGGGGAAGAAGAAGUGACGGUACCCAAUGAAGAAGUCCCGGCUAACUACGUGCCAGCAGCCGCGGUAAUACGUAGGGGACAAGCGUUGUCCGGAAUCACUGGGCGUAAAGGGCGCGUAGGCGGUUUUAUAAGUCAGAUGUGAAAGGUACCGGCUCAACCGGUGACGUGCAUUUGAAACUGUAAGACUUGAGUACUGGAGAGGCAGGCGGAAUUCCUAGUGUAGCGGUGAAAUGCGUAGAUAUUAGGAGGAACACCAGUGGCGAAGGCGGCCUGCUGGACAUUUACUGACGCUGAGGCGCGAAAGCGUGGGGAGCAAACAGGAUUAGAAACCCGUGUAGUCC
rnacentral:rRNA from 1 species